AAAAGCACAGCACAGUUCAUCUUUUCAGAAUGAGAUGCUAACAGUUUGCAAUGGAGUAUCACUUGGGCCCUUGCAGAAAAGCCUUCAUUGUCCCAUGGAUCGACGAGAACCUAAAAUAUUCACAAUUUAGGCCCCCAUGUGGCACCCUGCAUACCAAAAACAACCCAUCUCACAUAAAAAAACCCUCACUUGUAAACUGUCGAAUAUCGGCUAAGCAAAAAUCCAUACAGAUAUCUUAUUGCAACUAAGCAGACUUAGUACUCUCCUUUUGCAUCUAUGUCCAACAGAGAGGCCAUCCAAUGACAAUCCGCGAUCUUUUGUCAAACUUCAACCCUCAAAGCAUAAGUCGAGCUUGUUCUCCGCACACCCUAUC
rnacentral:lncRNA from 1 species